rnacentral:tRNA from 1 species
GGCCCUGUAGCUCAGCCUGGAUAGAGCGACUGCCUUCUAAGCAGUAGGUCGCAGGUUCAAGUCCUGUCAGGGCCA